GAUGAACGCUAGCGACAGGCUUAACACAUGCAAGUCGAGGGGCAGCGGUGGUGAAGGCUUGCCUUUACCAGCCGGCGACCGGCGCACGGGUGAGUAACACGUAUGCAACCUGCCUGCCACAGCCGGAUAAUCGGGAGAAAUCCCGUCUAAUACGGCAUAAUGCAUCGACGGGACAUCCUGUUGGUGCCAAAGGUUGAUUCCGGUGGCGGAUGGGCAUGCGUCGCAUUAGUUAGUUGGCGGUGUAACGGACCACCAAGACGACGAUGCGUAGGGGUUCUGAGAGGAAGGUCCGCCACACUGGUACUGAGACACGGACCAG
rnacentral:rRNA from 1 species